rnacentral:tRNA from 2 species
GACCCAGUAGCUCAGUCGGUAGAGCAACGGCCUUUUAAGCCGGCGGUCGCAGGUUCGAUUCCUGCCUGGGUCA